rnacentral:rRNA from 1 species
AUUGAACGCUGGCGGCAGGCCUAACACAUGCAAGUCGAACGAGUGGCGGACUGGUGAGUAAUGUCUGGGCACCUGCCCGAUGGAGGGGGCUAACUACUGGAAACGGUAGCUACUACCGCAUACCAUCUGAUGUGCCCAGAUGGGAUUAGCUAGUAGGUGGGGUAACGGCUCACCUAGGCGACGAUCCCUAGCUGGUCUGAGAGGAUGACCAGCCACACUGGAACUGAGACACGGUCCAGACUCCUACGGGAGGCAGCAGUGGGGAAUAUUGCACAAUGGGCGCAAGCCUGAUGCAGCCAUGCCGCGUGUAUGAAGAAGGCCUUCGGGUUGUAAAGUACUUUCAGCGAGGAGGCGUUACUCGCAGAAGAAGCACCGGCUAACUCCGUGCCAGCAGCCGCGGUAAUAC